rnacentral:rRNA from 1 species
UACGAAGGGGGCUAGCGUUGCUCGGAAUCACUGGGCGUAAAGGGUGCGUAGGCGGGUCUUUAAGUCAGGGGUGAAAUCCCGAGGCUCAACCUCGGAACUGCCUUUGAUACUGGGGAUCUCGAGUCCGGGAGAGGUGAGUGGAACUGCGAGUGUAGAGGUGAAAUUCGUAGAUAUUCGCAAGAACACCAGUGGCGAAGGCGGCUCACUGGCCCGAUGCUGACGCUGAGGACGAAAGCGUGGGGAGCAAACAGGG